AACAGGGGGGAGAGAGGGAGAAGUAUUUACGGAAAUAUGGAAAUAGAACAAAAAAAUAGUGAGACUUUUGAUAUUUUGUUCCAUUUCCGUUUUUCCGUGAUUACUUCUCCACCUCCCAAUUCAAU
rnacentral:miRNA from 1 species